UACGUAGGGUGCAAGCGUUAAUCGGAAUUACUGGGCGUAAAGCGUGCGCAGGCGGUUUUGCAAGUCUGUUGUGAAAUCCCCGGGCUUAACCUGGGAAUGGCGAUGGAGACUGCAAGGCUAGAGUUUGGCAGAGGGGGGUAGAAUUCCACGUGUAGCAGUGAAAUGCGUAGAGAUGUGGAGGAACACCGAUGGCGAAGGCAGCCCCCUGGGUCAAAACUGACGCUCAUGCACGAAAGCGUGGGGAGCAAACAGG
rnacentral:rRNA from 1 species